UAUAGCGAAAGUCAGAUAGAGCGGGCAAGGCGCGGAGACAGAAACAAAGUAGUGGGAGCGAGGGAGCGACUGCGAGCAGCGGUGGUGUGAGAAGGGGCGUAUGGCACCCAUUAUCUUGUUUAUUAAAAGCAAGUUUCUUUCCUUCGCUCCCUCCUCCCCAUGCAGCUGACCGCAGAUAUUUCCAAGGGCCUCGCUCUGCUGUUCUGUGCCUACUUCACAGGCAGCUGGAAGGGUCACAGAAGUUGAAACCAGAGGGUGUCAAUCGCCUGUUUCGCUUUGUGACCCACUGGAGGCAUCUCAAAGCCAGAGAGAAGUGUGCAUGUGUACGAGCGGUAUGCGCCUGUUUGCAUGUGCGUGUGUAUAGCUGAGCAUAAUUUAUGUGUGCAUGUGCAUCUAGUGAUGAAGCACCAAUAAAACAAACUAUGAGGAAAGGGAGAGACUGCGCGCACUGUGUGGAAACUGCAAGACCUGCAGCUCCCGACGAAGCUGGAACUCAUCGUUCAGAGAGAACUGCGUCAAGAACAUGUUUAACCAUGCAGGAAUCAAGUGCAAAUGCACAACUGCUCUUAGUCUGGACUUCCUGGGAGUGUAUCAGGAGCGCUGGGAGCAGUGCUGUGCUUCACAAAGAGAUGAGAUAGACGGGACCUUUUUGUUCACCAAGUUGUCGUUUUUCCAAAUACUGCGACUGUUUCUCACACUCUCUUCACACGACUGUAUAAAAAUAUUAGACUACAUGAAUAUGAGGAUGAAUAAAUUGUUUGUCUUUGUCUGUGCUAUGGACUUCUCACUCUGCUCAUCUGGAUAUUACAUUUGUCUAGUCCUCAGCACCACCUCCUGCCCACAUCCAUGAAUCUUCUCCGUGGCCUCCCUGUUUUCCUCCUGCCUGGCAGCUCCAUCUUUAACAUCCUUUGCUCAGUAUAUUCGCUAUCGCUCCCUUUUUUCCACUGAAAUCACUGUAGUUACUGUAAGGUUUCACAGGGAAGCAAUAAGAGGUUAAACAUUAUAAAUUUACCAUUAAAACAGCCAUUGGCUUAGUGUUUUGAGGUCAUCAGUUGGUCUAUGUAUGGAUUUCUGGCAAAAAACAAAACCAAUGUAUAACAUUUUAAAUUGAGUUCAGACAGCUUACACAAGUCCAAGAUGUUAAACACAAACAGCAUAAAUGAAACACACAAGGCAGCCC
rnacentral:lncRNA from 1 species